CUCCCAAUCCCUGCCCCCUGGCAAGUGGCUGAUUAGAUAAUGAUUGUGGGAUCCUCGAUGGGGGCAUCUGUUGUCCCAUAUGAUCUUGGGAUUGACUUGAGGUUGAAAGCUGUGACUGUUGGGCAGAGGAUGAGGUAGUAACAGUAUGCUGAUGCUGCGAAAGAAUAUGGGACCUUUGAUGCAAAGUCUGAGGGCUAAUUUGAGGCCUUAGUGAUGGUGUUGGCAAAGGGGGUUUUCCUUGUGCUCCUGAAGAUAACCACGGCUGAUUCUGGGCUUUUGGACUUUGAGACAUAGUAUGCAAUUGGGAAGAAGGUAAUCCCACUGACUGAACUCUCAACAUGCCAUGGCCUUGAAAAUUCUGCAAUGGUAAAUAAAAAAGAAACAGAAAACCUCAAUAAUUUACAGCCAAAAACCAUGUGAAUAAUGAUCUACAAGCACAAUCUGAACAUAAACAACCAAAUAGUAGAAAAGGACAUACAGAGAAAUGUUUCUAUCUUGCAAGGAAAUACUAACCUGUGUAGCAGCAGACUGACUACUGAUGCUCGUCUGAGGUCUAAGAGAAGAGGCGACAGGUCUCAGCUGCUGAGGAACCCCUGCUGGCCGCAUUGGUGACGUUGAACCAAGUGAUCCCAUCAUUCCCAUCCCAUGCAUUCCUUGUACUGGCUGCCUCACCUACAGACAAUAUAGAAUCAGUUAAUAUCCAAUACAGAAUGUAAAGCAAGAACACAGGGGCGUAAAUGCACACAAAAGUAUGAAGUACCGAAACACCCAACUCAACAACAACAAAAAGCCCAGUAAUUUCCCACGAGUGGGAAUUGAGGAGGGUAAGAUGUACGCAACCUUACCCCUGCCCUGCAAGGGCAAAGCCUCUGAAAGACGGUAUAUAUCAGCAUUCAAACCUAUUCCUUCGUGGCUAGCCCGUUUCCGAUAGACCCUCGGCUGGAGAACGGAUGAAAAAAGUAAUAGCAACAAGUAGGAAUAACAACAAGAUAAAAUUAAGACCGAAGCCAAGAAAGCAGUUAAAUUCUAGGUACUAAUAUCAAUCAAUGAAUAAAAGGAUAUCAUACUAACACUAAUGCUAGCUAACUAAGUAAGACAAAGAGAAACAUUCGACUACCUACUAUCCUUCUGCCCUAAUGUUCGACCUCCGCACCCUUCUAUCUAGGGCAUGUCCUCAGUCAGCUCCAGCUGCGCUAUGUCCUGCCUGAUCACCUCUCCCCAAGACUUCUUAGGCCUACCUCUACCCCGCCUAAUACCCACUAAGGCUAACCUCUCGCACCUUCUAAUUCUGGACAUGGGAGUUUUUGACAAGCCAACACUCUACUCCAUACAACAUAGUUGGUCUAACUACUACCUUGUAGAACUUACCUUUAAGUCUCAGCGGCACAUUCUUAUCACAUAAGACACCGGAAGCGAGCCUCCACUUCAUUCAUCCUGCUCCGAUACGGUGCGUGACAUCCUCAUCAAUCUCCCAGUUAACUUGUAUUAUAGAUCCAAGGUACUUGAAACUCUCUCUCCUGGGGUGACCUGUGUAUCAAGCCUUACACCCAUGUCCGCUUCCUGGGUAACUUUGCUAAACUUGCACUCCAAGUACUCCGUCUUGGUCCUGCUCAGCUACACCUCCUCGAGUCUCGUCAAUCUGAACUAUGUCAUCUGCAAAUAACAUAUACUACGGCACUUCCCCUUGAAUGUGUCGCGUUAAUGCAUCCAUCGCCAACGAAAACAAAAACGGGCUAAGGGCUGAUCUCUUAUGCAACCCCAUCACAACCGAAACACCAAACUCAAAUAACCAUAUUCAUAAUUCAAUUAAAUAGACCCAACCACAUAAACCAGAAUAACCAAGAUCCAAAAAUCACCUAACAGUUCAUGAAUUAUGUUCCGGUGUUUUAACAGCGAUUCAGAAUACUUAAUCAUGCAUCCUGAAUUGUUAUCUAUUUGUCUUACUAUUUAGUACUCCUCUGGUCAUUUUUGUUUAUCAUUUGAAUUUUUCACAUACCCAUUAAAAAAUCGUUUAAUAGCAUUAUUCAUUAGGGGUAUUCAAUUAAAUUAGCAUGAUUUCUUCGUUAAAAGAAUAAGUAAUUAUGAUUGUAUGCCUUCUUGGAGUAGUAAGGGUAGAAUUGGAAAAAAUAUGUUAAUGUCUUCUUGUUUAUCUUAAAAUAUUAAACAGUAUGGAACAAUUUUUUUUGACCCAAACAUCAUGGCAUAGUCAAUUAUCUCUUAACUUAGUUAUGUUAGGCUCUUUCCUCCGCAUCUAAUGAUAGUACUUUAUAUUGUCUCCACAAUAAAAAGUGAGUGAACGGCUAAGACUGGACCCUGCAUGGUGGAUUCACAAUCCAGUGCCCGGAUCCUUUUGACUACAUCAGCCCUUACACCUUCACAUGUUAAAGUCUCAAAUUUGAUUCUCAUAUUACCCAAUAAUGUGAAUUUAAUAUGGUUAUAGCAAAUUGUUUGAACUCUAGACGUAGCAUGGUACUUAUCUUAAUUUUUUGUAAGGUGGUGUUCGGACCAGUUUGCACGCAUCUCAUCGAAUAAAUUUGUGCAGCUUUUUUGCCUUUGAUUGAUGGGAUUUAAACUUUGAACUUUCAUGGUCUUCAUUUCUCUUUAUCUACCCCUAAGCCACAGGCUUGGAUGCUCCUCUAAUCUUUUUUCAGUAAUUUUACUGCUUAGCUUCUCUUGUUUAAAUAUCACGAAUGAUCUUCAGGACCUACUCCUAGUGGAUUAGUUUAUAAAUUAGGCUGCAAUUGCAAACUUGUUGCUUUUGCAGGAACUAAAACAUCUAAUACGCAAAAAAAUUAAUUGCAAUUGCAUUCACAUAGGAAAAGGAUGCACCCAAUUUACACGACACUAUUUCAUUAUUAGUCCGUUCCAGAAAGCAUGACACGUUUCUAUAUAGACUAACAAUUUAAGUUUAAACUUUCCAUUUUACUUUAAUAAGAAGCUUUUAUAGCCAUACAAAUGUUAAUACAUGUUCAAGACAAUAAAUUUCAAAAGUUUUACUUUCUUUCUUAAACUCUUAGUGGAGUCAAACUAUAUCACAUAAAUUGAAACGAAAGGAAUAAUAAGAAAGUGAAAAUUGAAUAAUACCUGUGAGGCAGUUGAGCUGGGGGCAGAAGAAUCAGGCAAAUUGCGACCAAAUUGCUGCCCAAAAGAAGGCGGCGGCGGAGUCAAUGAGGAGAAAGAGGUAGGAGGGUGAUGAGCAGGUACUCCCAUGGCCAUUCCACCACCUCCUCUAGGGUUUUGCAUAGAAAGGGAAGAAGACGAAGAAGUAAUCGAAGAAGAUGAUGAUGAGUGAGGUGGCGGCGGCGGCGGUGGAGGAGGUAAAGAGAAGUGUUGAAAAGGUGAAGGCUGUUGCCAUGGCCUGUUAAAGGGUUGUCUUGUUUGAGCAUUUUGUAAAGUGGGUGUUAAAGGGUUUUGCUGUUGAGUAGAUGUGGCGGCUGCAGCUGCGGCGGCGAUGGUAGUGGUGGUGGUAGGGUUUAGGUUUUGUGGUGGUUGUGAUUGUACUACUGAGGUAGUGGUUGUUGUAGUAGACGGGAGUUGACUGGUUGCGGCGGCGGAGGAGGAAGGUGGUGGAGGCGGAGAUGGUGGUGGAAGCUGUUGUUGUUCAGUUGGCUGUGAAGUGGACGUCGACGGCGGCGGUGUCGGCGGU
rnacentral:lncRNA from 1 species